UGGAUUAGCGGCGGACGGGUGAGUAACACGUGAGUAACCUGCCUUAGACAUUGGGAUAGCCUCGGGAAACCGGGAUUAAUACCAAAUAAAAUCAUAAUGACACAUGUCAUAACGAUCAAAACUCCGGUGGUCUAAGAUGGACUCGCGUCCCAUUAGCUAGUUGGUAGAGUAAAAGCCUACCAAGGCGACGAUGGGUAGCCGGCCUGAGAGGGUGAACGACCACAUUGGAACUGAGAAACGGUCCAA
rnacentral:rRNA from 1 species